GAAAUGCGAUAAGUAAUGUGAAUUGCAGAAUUCAGUGAAUCAUCGAAUCUUUGAACGCACAUUGCGCCCGCCGGUAUUCUGGCGGGCAUGCCUGUUCGAGCGUCAUUUCAACCCCUCACGCCCCCUCGCGGGGCGUGGCGUUGGGGACCGGCCCCGCCACGUCGGCGGCCGCCCCCGAAAUCCAGUGGCGGCCACGCCGCGGCUCCCUCUGCGCAGUAGCAAUCGCCUCGCAGCCUGGGACGCGGCGCGGCCACGCCUCGACGCAAAAAUCAUAUCGUGGUUGACCUCGGAUCAGGUAGGAAUACCCGCUGAACUUAA
rnacentral:misc_RNA from 1 species